rnacentral:rRNA from 1 species
UACGGGGGGAGCAAGCGUUGUUCGGAUUUACUGGGCGUAAAGGGCGCGUAGGCGGUCAGCACAAGUCAGUUGUGAAAUCUCCGGGCUUAACUCGGAAAGGUCAACUGAUACUGUGCGACUAGAGUGCAGAAGGGGCAACUGGAAUUCUCGGUGUAGCGGUGAAAUGCGUAGAUAUCGAGAGGAAUACCAGUGGCGAAGGCGGCUUUCUGGGCCUACCCUGACGCUGAGGAGCGCAAGCGUGGGGAGCAAACCGG